rnacentral:lncRNA from 1 species
AUAACUCGUUGCGGGCUCCGCGCGGUCCCACUUCCCGGCUCCCUUCGCCUCCAGGAUGCGCUGAGCCCUACAACACCCCCAGCGGCCGCCGGCUCCCCCACGAGGAUGGAGAUAUUCUAGCAUCCAACUUCUCUGUUGACACACAAGUCGCGUACAUCCUAAGUCUGGGCGUCGUGAAAGAGUUCAGGAAGCACGGCAUAGGUUCCCUCUUACUUGAAAGUUUAAAGGAUCACAUAUCAACCACCGCCCAGGACCACUGCAAAGCCAUUUACCUGCAUGUCCUCACCACCAACAACACAGCAAUAAACUUCUAUGAAAACAGAGACUUCAAGCAGCACCACUAUCUCCCCUAUUACUACUCCAUUCGAGGGGUCCUCAAAGAUGGCUUCACCUAUGUCCUCUACAUCAACGGCGGCCACCCUCCCUGGACGAUUUUGGACUACAUCCAGCACCUGGGCUCUGCACUAGCCAGCCUGAGCCCCUGCUCCAUUCCGCACAGAGUCUACCGCCAGGCCCACAGCCUGCUCUGCAGCUUCCUGCCAUGGUCGGGCAUCUCUUCCAAGAGUGGCAUCGAGUACAGCCGGACCAUGUGAUGUCGGCUGGGCAGCCGCCACCAGGCCCCACCCUUCGGCCGCCCGCAGAGCCCGCCUUCCUGUCCAUCUGACCCCUUCUG